GACGAACGCUGGCGGCGCGCUUAACACAUGCAAGUCGAGCGAGAACCAGGGCUUCGGCUCUGGGGACAGCGGCGAACGGGUGAGUAACACGUGAGUAAUCUGCCCUCGACACUGGGAUAGCCCGGGGAAACCCGGAUUAAUACCGGAUAGCCUUUCGAGCUCUCGGGCUCGUCAGAAAAGGAUGGCUUCGGCUUUCGGUUGAGGAUGAGCUUGCGGCGGAUUAGCUUGUUGGUGAGGAACGGCUCACCAAGGCGACAAUCCGUAGCUGGUCUGAGAGGACGAUCAGCCACACUGGGACUGAGACACGGCCCAGACUCCUACGGAGGCAGCAGUGGGGAAUCUUGCGCAAUGAGCGAAAGCUUGACGC
rnacentral:rRNA from 1 species